rnacentral:rRNA from 1 species
UGGGGAAUAUUGGACAAUGGGGGCAACCCUGAUCCAGCCAUGCCGCGUGAGUGAAGAAGGCCUUAGGGUUGUAAAGCUCUUUCGGCGGGGAAGAUGAUGACGGUACCCGCAGAAGAAGCCCCGGCUAACUCCGUGCCAGCAGCCGCGGUAAUACGGAGGGGGCUAGCGUUGUUCGGAAUUACUGGGCGUAAAGGGCGUGUAGGCGGUUUGCCGAGUCAGGCGUGAAAGCCCCGGGCUUAACCUGGGAACUGCGCUUGAUACGGGCAGGCUAGAGGUUGGAAGAGGAGAGUGGAAUUCCCAGUGUAGAGGUGAAAUUCGUAGAUAUUGGGAAGAACACCAGUGGCGAAGGCGGCUCUCUGGUCCACACCUGACGCUGAGGCGCGAAAGCGUGGGGAGCAAACAGGAUUAGAUACCCCCGUAGUCC